rnacentral:lncRNA from 1 species
AGGUUAGACCUGCGGGAAAAGCAAACGAACGAAAUUUCUGCCCCAGUUUUACUAGGAAAAAUUUCGUGAAUUAUUCGUCAGGAAGUUCAUAAAAUUGAUGAAAGAGGAUAUGAAUGCUCAGUUCGGGGGUGGAGCCCUAAUACCGACUAGCUGGGGAGAAGUUCAGUUUUAAAGUUGAGACUCUAAUACUGACCAACUGGGGAAAAGUUCAGUUUAGGGUCGGGGCCCUAAUGCUGACUAAAGGAAAAGUUCAGUUUAGGGUUUAAAACCCUAAUGCUGAUUGAAUGGAAAAGUUCAGUUUAGGGUUUAAAACCCUAAUGCUGACUAAAGGAAAGGUUCAGUUUAGGGUUUAAAACCCUAAUGCUGCCUGAAUGGAAAAGUUCAGUUUAGGGUUUAAAACCUUAAUGCUGACUGAAAGGGAAAAGUUCAGUUUAGGGUUUAAAACCCUAAUGCUGACUAAAGGAAAAGUUCAGUUUAGGG